UACGGAGGAUCCAAGCGUUAUCCGGAAUCAUUGGGUUUAAAGGGUCCGUAGGCGGUCUUAUAAGUCAGUGGUGAAAUCUCCCCGCUCAACGGGGAAACGGCCAUUGAUACUGUAGGACUUGAAUUAUUGUGAAGUAACUAGAAUAUGUAGUGUAGCGGUGAAAUGCUUAGAUAUUACAUGGAAUACCAAUUGCGAAGGCAGGUUACUAACAAUAUAUUGACGCUGAUGGACGAAAGCGUGGGUAGCGAACAGG
rnacentral:rRNA from 1 species